rnacentral:sRNA from 1 species
GUGUUACCUGCACAUGCUCCCAGUUGGCCAUACACAUGAGGACAUAGACUCUAUGUUUUCAAUUUUUUCAAGCUCUUUAAAAGGCGACAUUAUCACCCCUGCGAAUGUGUUCGGAAUGUUUUCUUUAUCGUUGCUAAGUAUGUAGUAAAUCCAAAGGUGCUCGAAUGAAAGUUCACGAGACUUCACCGAGUAUGUUCAGUUCCUGUGAAAUUUCGAGCGGAAGUAUAAGUGUUCGGGUAAUAUUCUUAAAACCUGCUUCAAGCUUUUCAAAAGCUAUCAUAUGUUGAGCGAGGAAAGAUGGUAAAAUUGGUUUGGGAUUUUAAGGGAUGGAUGGAAAAUAGCCUGAUCAACAGCCACGGUCUUGGGGAUCAAUUUGUAUUUCGGAUUAACACAGUUGACAAAGCAAUGUUGCCGCAAAGGAUUUGGAUAUGGAGCCGAUCUGGAAGAGAGUUUGUUCCGUGACGGGAGUGUUCGAAUUGACGACGGUCUCCCCGUAACCUCUGGCGAACAGCGUCUGGAAAUCCUUCACAACGCUGACCGUCAGCCCCGGAACCCAGGGGGCACAGUCCAUCACCUUCAAUGAAUGGUAGAAUAAUUGAAAGUCUGAUUUACCUCAUGACAAAUGGGCUGAGUGAUUUAUAACUGCCAUGUGAUAUUGAUUAUAUGAUAACGUACAUGUAUUUAUGUAGUCAUUACUACUUAAAUAUCUAUUAAAUACUUGUACAAAUGUAAACGGACGUGAAAAGGUGGAAUAUAUAUAGUUAAUUGAAAUAGUAAAUCCCCU